rnacentral:rRNA from 1 species
UGUUCUAACGUGGACCCGUAAUCCGGGUUGCGGACAGUGUCUGGUGGGUAGUUUGACUGGGGCGGUCUCCUCCUAAAGAGUAACGGAGGAGCACGAAGGUUGGCUAAUCCUGGUCGGACAUCAGGAGGUUAGUGCAAUGGCAUAAGCCAGCUUGACUGCGAGCGUGACGGCGCGAGCAGGUGCGAAAGCAGGUCAUAGUGAUCCGGUGGUUCUGAAUGGAAGGGCCAUCGCUCAACGGAUAAAAGGUACUCCGGGGAUAACAGGCUGAUACCGCCCAAGAGUUCAUAUCGACGGCGGUGUUUGGCACCUCGAUGUCGGCUCAUCACAUCCUGGGGCUGAAGUAGGUCCCAAGGGUAUGGCUGUUCGCCAUUUAAAGUGGUACGCGAGCUGGGUUUAGAACGUCGUGAGACAGUUCGGUCCCUAUCUGCCGUGGGCGCUGGAGAACUGAGGGGGGCUGCUCCUAGUACGAGAGGACCGGAGUGGACGCAUCACUGGUGUUCGGGUUGUCAUGCCAAUGGCACUGCCCGGUAGCUAAAUGCGGAAGAGAUAAGUGCUGAAAGCAUCUAAGCACGAAACUUGCCCCGAGAUGAGU